GAAACAUAUUGUUUAUGUAGUUUCUGUCCCAAAAUGUGGCUUUAGGAAAUGUCAUGGAAUUUCUCCAGUCAAAGGAUACCAGGAUUAAACAGCAAGCUAAGGAAGUGAAGCUGGUUUUGAACCUGGAAACCAAUGAAGUGGUAAAACCGUAUGACGAUGGCCCCCACAGCAACGCGACAGUCGGCGACGAUUAAAACUCUUGAAAUUUUAA